GCUACAAUAGGUUGUAUUGGCCACACAAGCGUGUGGGCUCAUUUUCUGUAAAAUUUAGUUAGAGAUGUGUUUCAAAGUGCAUUUCGAUGUUAGCAAUAUUAUAGGCUUUGUUAAGUGAUAUUCAUGCUUCUGGUAUAUAAAUCUAUGGUUUUGCCUUUGUAUAAGUAUUUUCUGAGUAUGUUGUUAGCAUGAUUCUGAAAAGUAAGUAUGUCUAAUAUGUGUGCAUUUAAAUAUCUGGUUAUGCUUAUGUUGCAUCUGCAUUGGGGUGAAAUAAUUAUGUGACGGAGAAAGAGUUGGCAGUUUAAUGAUCUGUCGUAUCUGGUGGUUUAACCACAUAUUUGUUCUGGCAGCUUGGCCGCAAAUCUGGUGGCUUGACUUGUAGCAACCUGAAAGUCAGGGGUGACGAAAAAUGCGAUUUCGAGUAUGUACAGCUCAAUAUUUGCCCAGCCCAAAUUAACCCACCUAGACUAAACCCAAACCCAAAUGGCCCAAUUACAACCAAUACCAACCCAAACCUAGACCCAAACAAGCCCAAAUAAAAGCAAAUAACAACCCAAAAAAUACAGCCCAAACCCAAUGAAAACUAGGGUUUCAGAACCCUGGUGCCCCCAUGUGCGCCGUACAUUCCUUCUGACCCUCUACCGACGCCGUCUGCAGGCUACCCCGUCCGUGUCACGUCUCCUCCACCGCCCUACACCUGCAAACAAUAAAGAGAGUCUACAGCAACAAGCAACAGGGGGUUUUUGCUUUUGAUUUUCGGUAUAAAAACCGAUUUUAAAACAGUUUGAGGCGGGUUCUUUUUUCUUUUCUUUUCUUUCAACUUUUGUAACAAAAAUAGAUUAAAACAAAAAGAAAAUAAAAAAGAGAUUUCAAGGUGAUUGCUGGUUUUUUUUUUCAUUUAUGUUUUCCUAGUUGUUUUAUUUUUUUAUUUUUGUCAUUUUCUGUUUAUUUAUUCGCAUAUAUAUAAUACAAUAAGGAAAAAGAAAAACUCACCGGCCAGGGCUUUGAACGCCCGUUCUGACGCUUCGUCGGCCGUCGGAAGUGGUGGCGGUGCGGCGAGCGUUACGGCGGCGCGAAGAGAACCCCAAGAGUCGGAAGUUUGAGAGAAAAAGAAGAGGGGUUCUGGUUUUUU
rnacentral:lncRNA from 1 species